rnacentral:lncRNA from 1 species
GAAUGAUUUAUAGAAAUAUGUUAUGCCGUGGUUAUACUAUAGAUGGUGGAUUAACAAGUGCCAAGUGGUGAUGUUUAUAAGUCUAAGUCAUCUAAGUCUGUAAUGAACGAGCAGGAAAGUAUGGUGCCAAGGUCUUUCAUUUGAUGAAAAAUAUCAACUUGAUAUUAGUUCAGUGAAACAAGAAAAGAAGCCAUUUGACUUGGUUUAAGGAAAUAAGGAACAUGGAUUAAUUGAGGUAGUACUAGUGUGCGAGAAACUCAGUGGAUGAGUGGAAAGUCUCCUCUGUUAAUGGUUAAUUGGAUUCACAGUGUUGCAGAACUUAAUUUUCCAGGACAAAAAUACUCCAGGUGAUCUUAUAAAUAUGCUCAUAUUUGGGAGGACGUAUACCAACUUUACAAACAACUAGUCAGUAAUCAAAGAGGAACAUUGCUCAGGAGUUAAUUACUUUAGCUUAUGUGUUAAUAACAAUAAUUGAAGACAUGCAGUGAGUUUGCAUAGUUCUAGAUGCACUUGUCUUCUUUCAUAAAUAUUUUUAUUCAAUUACCUCUGGGUUCAUUAUACAGGGGCUUAAUUUCAAUAAUUUGAGUUGUUUCAGCUAGUUUCCUAAACUUGCCAAUUGGCAAUUUUUAAUUAAGUCCUUGAAAUACUUGUUUUUUUGAGCAAGGUAUGCACAAACCUAGCAGUACUUUGAACUAUUUCUACAUGUAAAUAUUUAGAAUUUAUUCAUUCAUUCAUAUGGGCACUAAGUAAAUAGUUUUAAUAUUUUGGACUGAUAAGGAAUAAGAAUAAUGUAUAAUUUUGCCUAUGUGAUAUUUCAAAGCCUACUAAUAACUUAAUUUCAUUGCUAGAAAUGAAAGAAAUGUAUAAGUAGGUUAGAGGGCAUAUUUGUCCAUUCAAUUUUGUAAUUUUUUAUGCUUUAUUAUGUUCCUG